AGAGUUGAUCAUGGCUCAGGACGAACGCUGGCGGCGCGCCUAACACAUGCAAGUCAACGGGGCCUUUAGGUAAGCUUGCUUCUGGUUGGACCUAGUGGCGGACGGGUGAGUAACACGUGAGCAACUACCCUGGAGUGGGGGAUAACAUCUGGAAACGGAUGCUAAUACCGCAUAAUAUCGAGAGUCGGCAUCGGCUUUUGAUCAAAGGAUUUAUUCGCUUUAGGAUGGGCUCGCGUCCGAUUAGAUAGUUGGUGAGGUAAAGGCUCACCAAGUCUGCGAUCGGUAGCCGGACUGAGAGGUUGAUCGGCCACAUUGGGACUGAGACACGGCCCAGACUCCUACGGGAGGCAGCAGUGGGGGAUAUUGCACAAUUGGGGGGAAACCCUGAUGCAGCGACGCCGCGUGAGUGAAGACGGCCUUCGGGUUGUAAAGCUCUGUUGAGGGGGACGAUAAUGACGGUACCCCUUUAGAAAGCCACGGCUAACUACGUGCCAGCCGCCGC
rnacentral:rRNA from 1 species